rnacentral:rRNA from 1 species
UACAGAGGGUGCGAGCGUUAAUCGGAAUUACUGGGCGUAAAGGGCGCGUAGGCGGCCUGUUAAGUCGAACGUGAAAUCCCCGGGCUCAACCCGGGAACUGCGUCCGAUACUGGCAGGCUUGAAUCCGGGAGAGGGAUGCGGAAUUCCAGGUGUAGCGGUGAAAUGCGUAGAUAUCUGGAGGAACACCGGUGGCGAAGGCGGCAUCCUGGACCGGUAUUGACGCUGAGGCGCGAAAGCCAGGGGAGCAAACGGG